UUUAAUGAAAGUAGAGCAUUGAUUGGGCCUUUUUUUGUUGUUUGUUACUGUACUUUUUUGACAUUUCUCUAACAAUUCUGUCUUUUUCUUCUCGUCUAAUAAUGAUACUUCUUUCAUUGGUCCCACUCCAACCAAUUCUCUUUAUAUUUUCAAUCAUGUUUCCUAAGCUCAGCUGGAGUGAUAGUGUCCUGAGUCAUAAAGGUGGCCAAUUUCUUUUAGAAGUUAGUGACUACUAAAUCAAAUAACUCUUUGAUAGCUUUCUCACUCAUUCACAUGCACGAUCACUGAUAUUUACAGUUUGAGCUUUGGUUUUGGUGGAGAUGAGCAAAUCAUAUUUAGGACCAAGUGACCAACCACUAGGUAACAAGUUGUUCUCUCAAUAAACUCGAUCUUUGUAUAACAC
rnacentral:lncRNA from 1 species